UACAGAGGUCUCAAGCGUUGUUCGGAUUCAUUGGGCGUAAAGGGUGCGUAGGCGGCCACCGCAAGUCGAUUGUGAAAUCUCCGGGCUUAACCCGGAAAGGUCAACCGAUACUGCGGGGCUAGAGUGCGGAAGGGGCAACUGGAAUUCUUGGUGUAGCGGUGAAAUGCGUAGAUAUCAAGAGGAACACCUGCGGCGAAGGCGGGUUGCUGGGCCGACACUGACGCUGAUGCGCGAAAGCUAGGGGAGCGAACGGG
rnacentral:rRNA from 1 species